CGAGACCUCGGGACGCAGCAGUGAGGAAUAUUGGUCAAUGGGCGGGAGCCUGAACCAGCCAAGUCGCGUGAGGGAAGACGGUCCUAUGGAUUGUAAACCUCUUUAGGCGGGGAGCAAUGCCGGGCACGCGUGCCCGGAGGGAGAGUACCCGCAGAAUAAGCAUCGGCUAACUCCGUGCCAGCAGCCGCGGUAAUACGGAGGAUGCGAGCGUUAUCCGGAUUUAUUGGGUUUAAAGGGUGCGUAGGCGGAUUUUUAAGUCAGCGGUAAAAUGUCCGGGCUCAACCCGGGCCGGCCGU
rnacentral:rRNA from 1 species